rnacentral:lncRNA from 1 species
UUGACAUCUCAUCUGGGGUCACCUGGUCUUCAACUGAGAGAUCUUUUGGUUCGCCACGGAUGCCCCUUGCAGUUAUGGAAGUUCACUCUUUGAGAGAGAGAUAAAUAAACAUUAAAAUGUAAAGAAAAAAAAAAUCAGCAAUGGAAGGAAAAAGGAACAAAAAGCAAUCCAUUGGCGUCAAGCUUGACUGGACCACUCCACUGCUCUGCUGCCCUUCCCUGACCAGAGGUCGUUUUGAGUUUCCUUCUCUGGAAUUUGACCACUGAGCAGAGACACAUAGGAGAGAAGACGUGAAUGCUGAGUCAUCAAUCAGCAUCACUGGGAAGAAAAAGCCUCUCAGUUUCUUCUGCUGGGACUCCCAGAGCUGGAGUAUUUUCUGCUCUUCCUAAGGCCUG